CAAAAGCAGCAGACAAAAAGAAUAGAGAUAAAAUUUGCCUAAAACUGGGUAAAAGAAACAAUGUUCCAUGAAAUCGAAGGCAAAAACACGAGAUAGCAAACAAGACAUGCACACCGAUAUAUGUAUAUUCUGCAGAAAUGGGAGAAGGAACGUACCGAAUCAAAAUCAAUCAAUAGAGAAUGUAGAAAGAUAAAUUGAAGCGGUAUUGGUUUCGUAAUUUGUUUGGAGAGAGAAAUGGAAGGAAUUGAAAUUUGCAGGAGGAUAAUGAACCAAGAGUUGAAAAGCAAGUAAAUUGGAUCCGGAGAGAGAUUUUGUUUAUAUAAAGGUGUGGCGAGUCUGGGUUUAGCUCAACGGCUUAACGGAAAAAUAAAUUUUAA
rnacentral:lncRNA from 1 species